rnacentral:rRNA from 1 species
AUUGAACGCUGGCGGCAGGCCUAACACAUGCAAGUCGAACGGUAGCACAGAGAGCUUGCUCUCGGGUGACGAGUGGCGGACGGGUGAGUAAUGUCUGGGAAACUGCCCGAUGGAGGGGGAUAACUACUGGAAACGGUAGCUAAUACCGCAUAACGUCGCAAGACCAAAGUGGGGGACCUUCGGGCCUCACACCAUCGGAUGUGCCCAGAUGGGAUUAGCUAGUAGGUGGGGUAAUGGCUCACCUAGGCGACGAUCCCUAGCUGGUCUGAGAGGAUGACCAGCCACACUUGAACUGAGACACGGUCCAGACGCCUACGGGAGGCAGCAGUGGGGAAUAUUGCACAAUGGGCGCAAGCCUGAUGCAGCCAUGCCGCGUGUAUGAAGAAGGCCUUCGGGUUGUAAAGUACUUUCAGCGGGGAGGAAGGCGGUGAAGUUAAUAACUUCACCGAUUGACGUUACCCGCAGAAGAAGCACCGGCUAACUCCGUGCCAGCCGCCGCGUAACAC